rnacentral:sRNA from 1 species
ACCAGUGGGCAUUACUUCCCCGUCACAGUCAGUCGGUCCUCCUCAGCGGAAUCUAUUCCUUAUAGAGAGGCUGGCUUUGGUAGCUUGGGACAAGGAGGCAGAGGUCUGCAGGGAAGGAGAACUCCCAGAGACUCUUAUAAUGAACUUCAUCUGCCUCCUCUGGACAGGGGAUUUUUUCUUUCAGACCAUCCCCAAAUGGGCAUUCAGGCCACACAAGAGUCCUCACCCCCAACAAUUUUGCUCAGAGGGAGAGCACAACUACACUAGAGAGUCUUCCUAGUUUCCAGCUACCAGUCCUGCAGACUCUCUACCAACAACGGAGGCAUAUGGGAUUACCCAGUGGGAGAGAAGCAUGGACCACUUCUAGAUAGAUCAUCUUCAAGAUCUGAUC